rnacentral:snRNA from 1 species
UCAAUAAGCGGAGGAAAAGAA